rnacentral:rRNA from 1 species
UGGGGAAUAUUGGACAAUGGGGGCAACCCUGAUCCAGCCAUGCCGCGUGAGUGAUGAAGGCCUUCGGGUUGUAAAGCUCUUUUUGGCGGGGACGAUGAUGACGGUACCCGCAGAAUAAGCCCCGGCUAACUUCGUGCCAGCAGCCGCGGUAAGACGAAGGGGGCUAGCGUUGUUCGGAAUUACUGGGCGUAAAGCGAGUGUAGGCGGUUGCCGUAGUCAGGUGUGAAAGCCUUGAGCUCAACUCAAGAAAUGCACUUGAUACUGGGUGACUAGAGGACCGGAGAGGAUAGUGGAAUUCCCAGUGUAGUGGUGAAAUACGUAGAGAUUGGGAAGAACACCAGUGGCGAAGGCGGCUAUCUGGACGGUUACUGACGCUAAGA